rnacentral:rRNA from 1 species
UUAAAUUGAAGAGUUUGAUCAUGGCUCAGAUUGAACGCUGGCGGCAGGCCUAACACAUGCAAGUCGAACGGUAACAGGAAACAGCUUGCUGUUUCGCUGACGAGUGGCGGACGGGUGAGUAAUGUCUGGGAAACUGCCUGAUGGAGGGGGAUAACUACUGGAAACGGUAGCUAAUACCGCAUAACGUCGCAAGACCAAAGAGGGGGACCUUCGGGCCUCUUGCCAUCGGAUGUGCCCAGAUGGGAUUAGCUAGUAGGUGGGGUAACGGCUCACCUAGGCGACGAUCCCUAGCUGGUCUGAGAGGAUGACCAGCCACACUGGAACUGAGACACGGUCCAGACUCCUACGGGAGGCAGCAGUGGGGAAUAUUGCACAAUGGGCGCAAGCCUGAUGCAGCCAUGCCGCGUGUAUGAAGAAGGCCUUCGGGUUGUAAAGUACUUUCAGCGGGGAGGAAGGGAGUAAAGUUAAUACCUUUGCUCAUUGACGUUACCCGCAGAAGAAGCACCGGCUAACUCCGUGCCAGCAGCCGCGGUAAUACGGAGGGUGCAAGCGUUAAUCGGAAUUACUGGGCGUAAAGCGCACGCAGGCGGUUUGUUAAGUCAGAUGUGAAAUCCCCGGGCUCAACCUGGGAACUGCAUCUGAUACUGGCAAGCUUGAGUCUCGUAGAGGGGGGUAGAAUUCCAGGUGUAGCGGUGAAAUGCGUAGAGAUCUGGAGGAAUACCGGUGGCGAAGGCGGCCCCCUGGACGAAGACUGACGCUCAGGUGCGAAAGCGUGGGGAGCAAACAGGAUUAGAUACCCUGGUAGUCCACGCCGUAAACGAUGUCGACUUGGAGGUUGUGCCCUUGAGGCGUGGCUUCCGGAGCUAACGCGUUAAGUCGACCGCCUGGGGAGUACGGCCGCAAGGUUAAAACUCAAAUGAAUUGACGGGGGCCCACACAAGCGGUGGAGCAUGUGGUUUAAUUCGAUGCAACGCGAAGAACCUUACCUGGUCUUGACAUCCACAGAACUUUCCAGAGAUGGAUUGGUGCCUUCGGGAACUGUGAGACAGGUGCUGCAUGGCUGUCGUCAGCUCGUGUUGUGAAAUGUUGGGUUAAGUCCCGCAACGAGCGCAACCCUUAUCCUUUGUUGCCAGCGGUCCGGCCGGGAACUCAAAGGAGACUGCCAGUGAUAAACUGGAGGAAGGUGGGGAUGACGUCAAGUCAUCAUGGCCCUUACGACCAGGGCUACACACGUGCUACAAUGGCGCAUACAAAGAGAAGCGACCUCGCGAGAGCAAGCGGACCUCAUAAAGUGCGUCGUAGUCCGGAUUGGAGUCUGCAACUCGACUCCAUGAAGUCGGAAUCGCUAGUAAUCGUGGAUCAGAAUGCCACGGUGAAUACGUUCCCGGGCCUUGUACACACCGCCCGUCACACCAUGGGAGUGGGUUGCAAAAGAAGUAGGUAGCUUAACCUUCGGGAGGGCGCUUACCACUUUGUGAUUCAUGACUGGGGUGAAGUCGUAACAAGGUAACCGUAGGGGAACCUGCGGUUGGAUCACCUCCUUACCUUAAAGAAGC